GCUUGUUUCUGCUGCCCUCUAACGGCCUAAAACAACAUUGCAGGAGUCAGCAUUGUUUUUCGGCAUACCAACGCCCUCAGGAUUGUCACUUGGGUGUGUAGUAGUAUUGCGACACGAGAGUAAGACAAGUGUCUCUACCACACAUGGUAUGAAAACUGGCAUUGCAAGAAUUGCAACCCCACCCUCACUUUAAAUUGUCAUCAAGCCGCUGUUGCAAUUUCAUUCUUUUGAGUGACAAACAACUCCAGGAAUGUACUCGGCAGCAGAUAAGAGUGCAUUUUCAUCGACUCAGUCAGACCGGGCCUCCGUCACUGGUAUGUUUGGCAGUGGUGGGUGUGGAAACACACAAAUGCAUAUCUAGGUGCGUCCAAAAUAUGUUUCUACAAUUGGGUCAUUUGUCCGGCCGUAAAGAUGUUACCGUGAUGAUCCAAGUUGUGGCAUUUGGCGAUUGUAAUACUUUAAACCCCUGGUUUCCUCUUUUUAAACAGGCCAACACCUUUCCACAAAAUCCACCCAUCAAGUCUGACAAGUCUAAGCUUUGUCGUGGGAAGGAGAUUAAUAGCCAUGUAGAGUCUUGCAUUUAUGAGUGGACAAAAAUGAUAUUACAGCACAAGUCCAAUUUGUAUUUGUUGGUAAUGAUUAAUCCGACAUAUACAACGAUCCCUCAAAAGGUGAGGCGGUGUACGAUGAUUUGACUUACUUCUGACAAUUCGUGCAGAGGGCGACCAGACUAAUGCUGACGAUUAGAAAGAUGACAAGGGAGAUGAUGCCCACCUCAGCAGACGAAAAAGACGACAUCAUGUCGAACAUUGGAAUCGGAGCCAUUGUGGACGUGCUCUGAUAUAAUCAAACAAAAAAAAAAGAUCUACCACCAAUUGAGAAAAUGAUCCAGGAGGUGCUCACACAA